GGUUAUAGCUCAGUGGUAGAGUGCUUGCCUAGCACGUGUAAGGCCCUGUGUUCAAUCCUCAGCACCA
rnacentral:tRNA from 1 species